UCACCUGGUGGAGUGGCACAGGACUCCGAGCACUCAGGAGACGGACGGCUUCCAGGUGAAGCGUCCCGGUGAUGUCAGUGUGCGCUGCACUCUAUUACUGAUGCUGGACUACCAGCCCCCCCAGUUUAAGCUGGACCCCCGCCUGGCCCGCCUGCUGGGAAUCCACACGCAGACCCGCGCCGUCAUUAUCCAGGCGCUGUGGCAAUAUAUCAAGACCAAUAAACUCCAAGACUGUCAUGACAAAGAAUAUAUCACCGGGGACAAAUAUUUCCAGCAGGUCA